GGGGAUGUGUCGGAAUUGGCAGACGAGCAUGACUUAGGAUCAUGUGCCUUUGGGCGUAGGAGUUCGAGUCUCCUCAUCCCCACCA
rnacentral:tRNA from 1 species